CUCCCCAUCCAUCCGACCAUCGCGCCCUCACCCUCGCACCCGGCCGCCGCCGCCCAGCCGCGGGGCCCGCCCUCAACGCCGACGGACCCGCUUGCGGGCACACUCAACUACAGCUUCAGUGGUUCCGCACUCAACGACGAGCGGAUCGACGCCGCCCCACACGCCCUACAUGCUGGCCUCAUCCCCUGCACCCAUCCAGCACCCCGAGUUCGUUCGCCUCCGACACCACCGCCACCAUGGCCGCCACGCGGAACAAGAGGAUGCAACGACCCGCGCCGAGCCCGACCACGGCCGCAGCCUCUUGCCGAGAUUGGAGUGCCAAACCCGGGCUGACAUGCAUGGAUGCUAGCUGCUGCUUGAUUCCAUGGAAUGCGUUGCUUCGUUGAUGAGUAGUCUCUGUUCUUGUUUGGUUAGCUCAUGGAUCCACCAAGCGACAUUAGGCGGUGGCCACCAGCUUGGGCAGUGUAGCGGCAGCAGACAGGUAAACCAUCCCCGUUCUCUACAUCUUUUGCUCCAUGCCUGAUGGUAAACUAUCUCUCUGUGCUUUGUCUCCUAUUUUCCUGUCCAAUGCAUGUGAUGUGUUCGACUAAAUGCCUAAGCCACAACAGAAUGCCAAUAUUAAUGGCAAGUUGAUGGAUGACCACGGCCUGCAUAUCUGUCUCCAAGUUGUUUAUUCAGGGUGAUAUCCAUUCCAUGAUCAAAGAAACUUUCGGCCAUGCAGAGGACAAUGUAGUAAAGCUAUGCAGGUUCUUUAUGCUUAUGUCAGUAUGUCACCUAACUUUCAGUCAUUUGACUGGGUUUAUUCCUCCUGAUCUUGCAAAGCUCACAUAAUUGUUUGACUAGGUUGUACGUAUAAUUCUUUCCAUCAUUUGUCAUGCAUUAUAUGAUGCUUACUGGAACGCUAAUUCA